CUUUUGAAGAUAAGAACUCGCAUGAUGUUGUGGUUGAGUGUGAUGAUAAGGCGAGGGAGAUCCCGGGUUUGACUGGAUCAUUUACUGUUGAAAUCAACCUGGACUGUGAACCUGCAUGUGAUAGUUUGGUAGAGAAGAAUUGGAAUAAAAGUGGGAGCGAAGGAAUAGGAACAAGAAACAUUGAGAUCAUUGACCUAGAGAGUGACGUGAUUCACAUAAGUGGCUCAUCAAAAGUUGUUGAAGUGACUCGGGAAUCUGGCGAUACAAGUAAAGAGCCUCUGAAAGCUCAUUCUGCGCAGGAAGAACCUGAUAACGAGUGGGGAAAAUCGGUCUUCUUUCCAUACAGAGAAGCCCCUUCACAUUCUGUUCUUGUCUUUGAAAAUUCUAAUGCUAGAUCAUCAGUGGAAGAUCUUAGCAACACCAUUGAGCUGGGUUUAAACCCUCAAGAAAAGAACAUCAGUGGCUCCAAAAAGCGGAAGAAAAAUACGGAAACAUGUUCAUCUACGAACACCAAGAAGAAAGGCAUUGAAGCACCAACAAAAAAACUUCAGAAAGGCAAGACACCACCAAGCAAACCGCAUGGCAAGACGGGAAGUUCAAGUGUAAUGAUGGACAAAAACCCUAAUGAUUGGCUUAAACCGUGCCCAAACUUCCCAUUUGAGCCACUCACAAGAUCAUUUCAAGUAGAGGAUGACUCGGUAAUCCGCAUGUAUUUGGAGCAACACUUUGCGGCUCCAGGAAGUGAUGAUAGUAGUCUACCUUUACCCGAUUUCGGAUUGCCAACCUUCUCCAACAUCAAAAUCUCACUGAAUGAAGAACCUGCAUCCAAGAAAAAGAAGAAUCCUAAUCCUCCAUGUGUACAGGUUGCAAGUUCAAGCUUACCUAGUUGCAGUUCCAUGGGUACUAGUGUGCUACAAACAGUUGCAGGAAACUAAAGAGACACUGAGACUUGACAAGCUUAAGUUGUUCAUGUAAGAAAAAUUAGUAAACGUGUAUGUAUGAUCCAUAAACUUAAAUGAACAUUUGUCUUUUCUAUGAUCUAUUUCCUUUUCCUAUUAACUUCUUAGGUCGGUUCGAGAGGUCAUAUAUAUCAAGACAACUCAAAUCAGAUGAUCCUUUCGCCGUCCCUGAUUAUGCGUUCAACUUCUUUUCUCUUGGGUUCAAUAUUUAUGCGUUUUUCUUCUCUUGGAUUAGUACUCUCAAGGGCUUAAUCAGAUUGUCACAGGACCAGUUCUGGUAAUUCUAUAUUUGCUAUUUCAAUUGCUCUUAAUCCGGUUAUAUAUCUAAACCGGUUUUCUUUUUAUCAAUUAUUAGUUGGUAUAUCUAAACCGGCGCAGAAGGGAAUAAAGCAAUAACAAAUAUUUUGUGACCUCCUUUCUUCUCUCUCUCUCGUCUUCUUCCUCCAUUGAUUCACCCCUGAGGUGGUUUUCUUUCUUCUUUCUCUACCUUUCUAAAUCUAUUUCAUGGUUGAUUUCUGGAUUUGAAGCAUACCCACUGUCCCACAGAUUGGCUGAUUCGUUAAUUUAAUAAAGAAAAAAAAAACAAUCCUUUUGUCUUGUAAGCAUUCUCCUAAACCUCUUUAGUAUCUUUCUUCCAUGAAUCGCCAUUUAUGAUUGUAGGUGGUUUGUUCAAGUAAUUCUAAAGGUUCAACCUUUUAGCUUCGAUUAUCGUUGUCCCAUCCGUUAUUUGGGUUUCGAAUAGUGUUUUCGUUAGAAUUUGAUGACCAAUAUGAACAUGUAUAAAUCCUUUUUGAUAUUGCUUUACUGUAGUAUUAAUCUAUAACAAUCCUUUAUCCUCUCGGUGACGCUUUUCAACAAUUUGGAUACAUAAAUUCCAGAUUUUUCAGAUCUGGAAAAGUGGAUAUCAUCAGUUAGCUCUUUGAGGCUUUUGAGAGGCCUUUGAGAUGGUUUCUGUGCAUAGCUAUUUGUCUCCCAAUUUUGCCUUGCGUUCUGGUUUUUAAUUCAUCUUUGCUUCUUGUUAUGUGGUAUUCUUUUAGGUGAAUGAGCAAUGGAGACUAUGGGUUUGGUAAGGAUUGUUCCAGAAACCCAAGGUUGUCUGAGAAUAUGUGAUUUGCCCGACGAUUUGCUAUUGCAGAUCUUAAUCCUUGUCCCGGGAAAAGAUGCGGUGGCCACUGCGAUCUUGUCUAAACGAUGGCGUUACAUCUGGCAGAUGCUGCCUAAACUCGCCUUCAAAGACGACCGAUACAGCGAGAGCUUUGGGUGGUUUAUUGACAAGUCAAUGCAACUCCACAAGGCACCGUUACUAAUAAGCCUGGUCGUCGAACUGGGUGAACAUUGCCCUGCUGACGUAGAUGUAAGAAAGUGGGUUGAGAAGGCAGUUAACCACAGCGUGAGAACGUUAGAUUUCGCUCUCCUCUGGACAGGAGAGCCCACAAGCUUCCCUAAGAGCCUUUACACAUGCGGCACGCUCGUCUCUUUAUCUCUAUCCAACCAGAUCCUCGUUGAUGUUUCUUUCCCCGCUAGCCUGCCAUCUCUCUUAUAUCUGGAUCUUCUCAACGUGGUGUACAAAGACGAAGAUUCUCUUGCUAGGCUUUUAUCAAGUUCCCCUGUUCUCCGUGAACUGGAUGUUCAACGACGUGAUGAGGGUGACAACUUGAAAAACUUUACCGUGAAAGUGCCUUCAUUGGAAUUAUUAAUUUAUGUUAGACGGGGCGACCAGCCAGAGCAAGAGGAAGAUCAGAUUGGGUCGUUGGUGAUAGAUUGCCCUGCAUUAACAGAUUUUAGCAUAUAUGACGAUUUGGGAUACUAUUGUAGUUUGACAGAGAAUAUGCUUUGCCUUGAUGAGGUAUACAUCAGCUAUGUUCCUAACCCUGAUGGAAAGUUUCUGAGGUGUCUAUCUUCUGCCAGAUGUAUCCGCUUGUAUUUAUCCGAAUCAAUGGUAACGGUUACAUAAUCUCCUUUGUUCCUUGUUCCUCAAAGACCUCAACCAAUCUUCUUUGUUUGUUUGUUUUGUUGCAGGUUGCAUGUUGUAACGCCAUUAAUUUCUCUCGGCUCAUAGAUUUAGUCUUUGUUUCAGAAUAUCCAGUAUAUUGGUUGGAACCACUUAUUUUUAUGCUUCAAAACUCUCCUAAACUGAAAAUUCUAACGAUCGACACCAAGGUAAGUGCCCUCAUCCCUUCAAUAUGCACAUCUAAGUUUGAUGAAUUUAAAAUAUUAAAUAUAACUAAUGUAAUGGUAUCAGGGUUCUCCCACAUCUUCGUGGAACCAGCCGAGUACUAUUCCCCAAUGCUUAUCGUCUCAUCUAGAGAUUGUUAGGUGGAAAAACUAUGAAGGAAGACAAGAUGAGAAACAACUAAUGUCAUACAUUCUCGCUAACUCAAAGUGUCUAAAGACAGUGAAGAUCUUCGGCAUUCUUCGAGGGUGCAAAAAGGUGUUAGAAUCUAUGCCUAGGAUUUCAGCAUCAUCUCGGCUUCUUUAUUCUUCUACCGAUAAAGCCGAUUGGACUUUUUAGCUGGGCUAGAUUAUUUUGUUUUUUUGGCGAACGAGGCAAAACAGACACAUUGGAGGGAUGUUUUAAAAAUACAUAUCUAAAAUAUUUUACUAUCUUGAUUAUGAAUUUAUGAUCUACUUUUGAAAACAAAUAACACAACCUUAUUGAAAUAUAUAUAUAUAUCAAACCGGAACCUCGUAGUCUACGUACAUUCAACGAUCUCGUCAAUGGUUUUGGCAGUGAGAUGAUUCUUCCAGUCACCAACUUCACCUUUCCUAAAGAAUACAUUAGCAUCGAUACCAAUUCUCGUUGUACCCUUCUUAUUAGUCUCUAAAUCUCUCAAAUUACGCAAGUACGCAAUUCACUCUUCUCUUCUUCCUCGGUAAAUGGACAAUUCAAGAACUCGGCGACUCUCUUGACUUGAACACGAGGCUCCUCAAUUAUCUCCUCAUACUUCAAAAAGAGAACGUUCUCCUUAUCUUCUAAGCUCCCUUUCCAGUAGCUCAACACAUGUAACCAAUAGGGUCCAUUAGUCCAUAUAAGAGAACUCCUCUACAAUAUGCAUCAAACAUGAGCUCAAAAGUGGCUUGAUUCAACUUGGUGCGAUGCAACAUGUUUUUAUAAUGCCAACCGGAGACAAACGUAUCUUUGAUACCUCUAUACACAUACACGACUUUGCGAGGUGAAGAAGAAGACUUUUUGCUGGCUUCACGCAAUGUGUGGAAGUGCAUGUGUGUUGAAUAGAGCAUAGGAGAAGGAAACUUUGUGAGAUCAUGAGGGUUUUGUGAGAGCAAGGAUGGUUUUGGGGAUUUAAAACAAUUAUUUGAAGGUGAGGGCAAAAUAGUCAGAUCACAUUAGUUUAAUGUUGAGAGGGAUAUGAAGAUUAACAAAGGAGAUAGGAGAUUUUCUUUUUUCCAAGAGAGAGAUUUGUGACUAUGUCUCCACUGGAUGUCUAAUGAAAGACAUUAUUAAGUAUGCAAAUGAAAAGGUUGAUUAGACUAGGAGUCCAAGGUACCCCUUUACCCCUUAUUUUCCAAUCUGUUUUGGAGCUUUUUUUUAAUCUGGUACUAUACUUUAAAUUUGAUAAUGCUUGCUAGGAGUCAUAUGGGUUUAGCCGUAUAGGGUAAAUUAUAGGAGAUUGUUUCUGAUGAAAAAGAAGACGAGAGAUAAAGAAGCUCUCUACAGACGCACUAUCACUUAGAAAAAUCAAUGUUUCUAGCUUUUGCAUUUAGCUAUGCUUUUUUUGUUGUGUUGUUUUGUUAAAAACAUUAUAAACUCGUAAUAACAUAUGACAAUGAGGCAAGUUUCUAAUAUCUUCAAUGUUAAUUUUUCUUAAUAUAAAUCUAUGUGAUCUGUUUUGUUCUUUCUCAUAAGCCACAAUCCUACCGAUUGCACACUUUGAAGUUUCUCUACUAUUUUUCUUCUUAUUCUCUCUCGAACCAUGUCCCUAGAACACAAUAAUUUUAAAUUUGAUUUCAUAAAAAUGGUUAAGAGGAGAGUUGCUUUGGAGCAACUCUUUAGGUUACCUUACGUUUACGUUCUUAAAACAAAUUUAUAUGAAUCUCUACUUGCUAAAACCCUAGUUACAUGGGCUAAUGGACUUCUCAUAAGACUUUAUUUUGGGCUUCUUUUGGAUCGUCUCUAUAUAAUUCUAUGUGUCUGUUUUGUUCUUUCACAUAAGUCAUAAUAAUCAAGAAAGAACACAAAAAAAUGAUGAGAAGCAAUACACACUUUGCUGCUGCUUUGUUUUGCUUCUUCUCAUUUUCUCUCGGAGCCAUGUCCCAAGCUUCUCAAAUACUUAUUGAUUGCACCCAAUUCAACAAUGUCACUCGAACUAGCUCUUAUCUUUCAAAUCGCGAUACCGUCCUCUCCACUCUUCGCAACCGUUCCUCCAUCGUAAGCUAUUCCAACGCCACGGCCGAUCUUAGCCCAAACACAAUCUAUGGCAUGUUCCUUUGCAGAGGAGACCUAAACAGAACAUCUUAUUCAGACUGUGUCAAUACCACAACGUUAGAAAUCUAUAAAUCCUGCUUUUAUCGUAAAACAGCUUUGGUAAUCUCUAACAGUGUAUAGUUCGGUACUCGAACUCUUCUUUCUUCACGCUCGUAGAGGAUAUACCUAAUACCGCUAGAUUCUCUUCGGACAAAUCUUUGGAUUCUUCGCAAUUUUUCAAUCGAACAUUUCUUGAAAAACUAGACGAACUUAUCCUCAGAGCAUCCCUGUCUUCGUCGUUACCAGUUCCAUAUUUUGUGGAGGACCAAGAACAUGUGACUCAAUUGGAGGGUUCGUAUGAUUUAAUUUACAUGCAAUGGUCCAGUGUAGUCCUGAUCUUGAUCCAAGAAACUGUACCGUCUGCUUGAGACUUGCGGUUCAAAGACUCUCGGAGUAUUGCAGCCAUGCUCAGUUUGCUCGGAUCUUCUUUACUAAAUGUCUCAUCACGUAUGAAAUACCCGCUCUGCAACCGAACGUAACGAGUCUUGGUGUUACAAAAGGUGAGUCACAGUAUAUAUUAUUUAAUUUCCAGUUUAUCACCAUUGGAUUUUGUACUACGAUUUGAGAUUUUGGGAUGGGCUAACCCGGUCAGGUUCGGUUUAAAUUCGUUCGUUCGGUUCUAUAUGGACCGGACCAGAAUUGUCCCUUUUUUUCAACUUAUGAAAAUCGGUAUGGUUCAUCCUUGACCGAAUUAAACCGGGUUGACCUGAAUAUUUUUGGUCCACCGUAACCACCUAUCUGCCUACAAUCCAAUUAUAAAGAAUGAACAACUAAAACAUGUUUUAUCGAAGUCAACAAAAUUGCAUGAUCCACGUCGUUUUCGUGGAACUUGAGGCGAUUGAAUUGGAUUAUCCUCAUCCAAAAAAGUCAUGUUGACUUUAUAUAUUGUUAAAGUUAAAAAAAUAUAAUUUUCUAAAUUGUUUUUGAAAUUAGGGUUCAGGAGAAAAAUCAGUGACUACAUGUUCACUUGAAUCCUUAAUUUCUAAGAGGUUUUAAAAUUAAGGUUUAGAGAGUACCCUUUGUUUUGAAAACUAUUUACACAAAAAGUCAUUGUGUUAUAAGUAGAUAAACUUAUUAAGGUUAGUUUUGGGUUUUGGCAAACUUUAUUUUGUGGCGAAUCGGAUCGGGUCGAAUAUAUUUUUUCUAAACCGCAAAUCAUAAAUUUUGGAUCUUCCAUUAUUUUUGAUAUUUUGUAGUUAUUUGGUAAGAUUCUCUACACGAAAAUCACAAUAUUAUUGAGUACAUUAAAAAUUGCAUUCUAACAAAUAAUGAUUUAAUGCUAGCUUAUUGUCACGGGUCUAUGUUUAUUUUUUAAAAUGUAUAAUAUAUUGUUAUUUUUUUAGAAAAACACAAAAUUUAGUUUAAGAUUAUAUAAUUGUUUAUUUGUUUUAUUUAGUAUUUAGAUUGUAUAUAGAAUCUAACUAUGAAGAAAAAAAAUAAAAUAACACGUAAACGGUAAAAUGUAGAGUCAAUUAGCUGCAUAGCAAUUAUUUGAGAAAUAAUUAGGUGUGGCAUACACAAAUUUUUUUCUUUGCAAAACAAGAGAGAGAAAACUUUGGUUUGGUAAAAUUCGGACGAAAUUGCCCCUCAAAUUAAAAGCGAAAUGUCGUGAUAUCUUGUUUUUUAUCGGAUUCAUGGAUAUAUAUCAAUAUAUCGUAAUAUUCUAUUAAUAUUGUUUACAUAUGAUAUAUCACUAUAGAUAUAUCACUAUAUAUCUUGAUAUAUCACUAUAUAUCAUGAUAUGAUAUGAUGUUCACUAUAUAUUAUGAUAUAGCAAUAUCUGUCAUGAUAUAUCAAUAUAUGUCAUGAUAUAUCAAUAUAUAUCAUGACAUAUAUCAUAAUAUCUUAAUAUAUAAUAUGAUAUAUGUUAAAAUAUCGUGAUAUAUAAAUAUAUAUCAAGGUUUAUAAAUAUAUCUCAUGGAAAUUAUACAUCGUAAUAUUCUAUUAAUAUUGUUUACAUAUGAUAUAUCACUAUAAAUAUAUCACUAUAUAUCCUGAUAUAUCACUAUAUAUCAUGAUAUGAUAUGAUAUUCACUAUAUAUCAUGAUAUAGCAAUAUAUUUCAUGAUAUAUCAUGAUAUAGCAAUAUAUUUCAUGAUAUAUCAAUAUAUACCAUAACAUAUAUCAUGAUAUCUUAAUAUAUAACAUGAUAUAUGUUAAAAUAUAGUGAUAUAUAAAUAUAUAUCAAGGUUUAUAAAUAUAUCUCAUGAUAUAUCGAUAUCUGAUAUAGUGGUGGUGAUGGAGAGGGAGAGUCUGUUGGCGGACGGGGAAGUGAGAGACUGUUGUGGAUGUGAUAGGUGAGUGAAGUAAAUUUAACAUUGUAGUGGUUGUGUUGAAUUGUAUGUUAGUGGCGGAGGAGGUGAUGGUGAUGUGAAUGAAGAAUAUAUUGCGGUUGAAGAGAAGGUGGUGAUAGUGAACGGGAUAGAAAUUAUAUUGGCGAUGACAUAUGUGAGACUAUGACGAUAAAUGAAUUGAGAGACAAAGAUGCUUAACCAUCACUAGAUUUGUUCUUAGCGUCGUCGGUUGACGGUGUCUCAAAUCAUCUCUAACAGAAGCUCAAUAAUAACGAACGACACCCAAACAUACGACGUCUCUAUACCGAAUUUUUUUUUAAGGUUUAUGGAGUACAUUUUAAUCAGAAAAAUGCGAUGAGUUUAAUGAAUUCAAAAUAUCAUAAUUUUAGAUGCAAUCAGUUUCACAAUUAAGAAGAAUCAUUUGUUUGGGGUUUUCAUAAAGUAAAGAAAAAAGAAAAAGAAAAAAAUAAAUAAUAAAAGGAAAGAGAAACAAAGAAGGAAGGGAGAAAGAAUGAAGUGUUUGAUUUUAAGGGUAUUUUAGUCUUUUUGUCAUGUUUUCAAAUGAUCAUUUAUUUACAGGUUUGUCACUUCUCCUUUGACUUAAAUACUUCUCAGUCUUAGGGUAUGUAGUGUAAUUACUCUAAAAUGUAUCUGUACGUUGACCGCUUCAGCUGUUUGAAAGUUUCGUUUUGACUUUUUGCUACCGUAUAUUAAUAUUUGAUGUGUCAAAAUAAUUUGGUCCAACAUGUACAUGUUCAGAUUUCUAUAAUAUGUUUAAUAUGUUGCUCUCUUUUUAUUUUAUUUUAUUUUAUAGGGAAAAAAAUAUUUGAGAGGAUUUUUAUUGCAGCUUCUAUGGUAGCACUUCUAGGACUAUGAUCAAAUCUAAUGAAUUAAGGAUCGGUAUAUGCUGCUUCAUAUUUUUGUUCCUAUGAUAUGUGUUACGUGUGGUUUGUUGUGUUCUUGUCUACCAUUGGAAGAAAAAUUAACAUUGGAAGAUAUUUACAUCGAUUCCUCCCAAAUUAAUUUUCUACUUAAUUGCAUAAUUUGAAAAACACAAUAAUUAAAAUGAUAUGUAUCUCGUUAUAACAAACACAAAAUCUUAUAUAAUAAAGUAAGGUUCCACCUCUAAGAGCAAGCCCAAUGGGCAGUUCUUAAGAGAUUUUAGGACUAAGUCCUUAUGAAAAUGGGCCAAAAAUAAAUAAAAAAUGUGAGAACAGUUAAGGUUCGUUCCUUAGUUUAGGUUUUUUUCUGAUUGUAAGAAACGCAUACGUGGCACGAUUUAAUUGGUUGGUAAACAGAGAAAACAAAAAAAAAAAUUUCUUCCUCGAUUUCAUUUCUCUCUCUCUCCUUUCUUGUAAACUCCGACGGCGAAAGACGAUGCAAACUUCUCGAUCUUCAUCGUCCGGCGUCAUGACCAUCAAAUCGGAGCAGAAAAGCCGAAGAGUUUUGUGUGGAUCCGUCGUCGUCCCCCUCGAGCCAUCGAAUCCGGUUCGCUUGACUCAUCAUAGCCAGAAUUCGAUUCGCAGGUCGACAAUAAACUGGCUUGUUUGUAUUUAUGGGUCUUUAGAGAUUCUCAAAUAUCAAGCUUCUUCAAAAUUGGCUUUAGAUCUAGGAACUGCUAAUACAAUUGCUUAACAUCUUUCGUCUAUGCAUUGUAUCUCCGUAAAUGGGUAUAUUAGGUUUUGAUUCUCAGUGGCCUAUAUGUUAGGCUAUGCUAGUUUAGUUCAAUAUCACCACUUACUCUCUGUGUUGUGCCUAACUACUAAGGGAAAUAUGAUUUCUGAUUUUGUUUGCUUUAAUGUUUUGCUUUAGUGAUUUGCUUUAGUAUCAUCACAGUUUGUAUCAUCACAUAUCAUCACUGUUGUGUCGCUUGUGAUUCUUGUUCUUUCUGCACUUUGUAUCUAUGUUUCUCGUAUGCUAUAUGCUUUUACUCGUUAAAGACAUGGUUUGUGAUUAAGAUCUCUGGUCAGUUCUUAAAUGGUUGUAUGUUUGUGUUAUUUCAGAUGGAUAAAGAUAAAAGGAAUAAUGAAACGAGAAUGGUGUGGCUAGUGGUGGUGAUGGAGAACCUUUUCUUGUUACAAGAAACGGUGAACUUCCUCCUAGAUGGGGUGGUCCUAACGGUACAAUGCUUUUGGUGUGGUGAGAAGCAAUUCGUCUCCCAUGGCUCCAAUAACUUUGUAAUUUCUUGCAGAACAGAUGGAAAACGUUGGUUCACACAUCAAGCACAUCACCACAACAACGAAGAGGAAGACCAGUGCCUCAAGAACUGCAAGACAGAGUCCUAGCCAUGUUCGUGUGUCUAAGUGUAGGCUGAGUAUCUUCAAGAAGAAGAUGAUGUUCUUUCUUGUAUAGUUUUUUUUUUUUUUGAUGUGUUUUCAAAUGAAUCUUGUAUACUUUGUCAUAUUAUUGUCAUGAAUCUUUGUUAUCCAAAAUGUGUUUAUCAAGAAUGUAUCAAAAACUUGUAUACUUUAUCUUCUAUUUCUUUCUUUUCAAGCAAUCAAAACUCAAAUACCAUACACCAAAUUUGUGUUUUUCUUAAGGUCCUUACCAUUGGACAUAAAUAUUUUUAAGAGUCCCUACGAAAAUCCUUAACUUUAUAUUUGUCAAAAUUUACAAUUAAAAAAUUCUUAAGGAUGUUUUAAGGAUCCCUACCAUUGGGGAUGCUCUAAGCAACUCACAAUAGAGUGACAUGUGACACUUUCUAUUAUUUUAAUAUUUUUAACAAUUCAUUAAAUAGAAUAAACUUAAUUAAAAGCUCAUAAAAGCCCAUUAUUUGUUUUAUACCAAUAAAACACAAAUAACAUUUUAAAUUGUUUUUUUGGAAUUAAAGAUUCAUUUUUUAUUUAUUGGCCACUUGAAAUUUUAUUUUUAAUAUAUAAUAUUUGUGAAGAAUUAAAUUUAUUUAUAACUUUUGGGUCAAACCUCAAAUGAAUACAUAUAAAUGGGGUUUAAUGAGUCCAACAGUUACAAUAUUAAUUACUCAACCAUUAAAUACCAUUUCAGAUUUUAAUAUUAUUUUGUAACAUACAAAACACAUAAUUUCCUAUAAGAUAUCGAAUAUUACAGAUUAACAUAUAUGAUUUAAAUCAAACACAGUAUACUAACAAUUGAUUCAUAUACGCUAAUAAAUAGUACUAGAUUGAUAACCCAUGCUGCGCCCGGGUGCUAUACUUUUAAAAAUGUAAUUUAUAGUGUGGUGGUAGAGUAUAAUUAUUAAUACACCUGGGUGCAAUAUUUUAAAUGUGUAAUUUGUAAUUGUAUAUAUUAAUAUAAUUUUAAUUAUUGUGUGGUGGUGUAUUAUAGUGCGCAAAGUGUCAAACGGACCGGUCCGCAUCCAUACGGACAUGCCCGCAUUGGCCCGUUUUUAUUUUCUACCUACAGCGGGCCGGUCCGCUAGAUCCGCGGGCAAAAAAGUAAUGUCCAUGCCCGACCCGCUAUACCCAAUAGAUUAGUGGACCGGCCCGCACACUUAUUUUUUAUAUUUUAAAAAUAAUAAAAAAUAAAUUUAUCCAUAAAAAUUUAUAUAACAAUUAUUUUAAUUCAAACAAACUUUUAGUAUUACAUUUUUUAUAUAUAAUAAUUUUUUAUAUUUUAAAUUACUUUAUAUUAUUAUAUAAUUUACAUAUUUCAUUUUAAAAACUAAUGAUAUAUUUAUUUUUAUUAAAUAUAAUUAGUCCGCAUGCAAGUCCAUCAAUUCGCAAACAAAAUCCGCGAAACCUGUAAUCCGCAUGGGCCAAGCUCGCGAGAUUAAAAACUAUUCCAUAUUCCGAUUUGCAUUCAUAUGUUAGGGUUAGUUAUUAUAAUCUUCAUUAAUUUAUUUACAAAUGUAUUAUUUGAUGUAACCUAAUUGGUUGAAUUAAUUAGGUAAGUAUUAAUUAAAAUAGAAUAUGCAAAAUUCGCGGUGUAAGUGCAAACGAUAUGUAUAGAUAACAUAUUAUUAGGAAAUAUAGUGAAAUCUUGUUAUUUCCAAACCAACAAUAUAAUAUUUAUUAACGUGAUAAACACAAUUAAAGUAAAGAAAAUAUUCUAGUUCUCCACAAAUAAUAUUAUUGCUAUUUGAACUGUUUUCCGAUUUAAAUGUUGUAUAAAUGUUGUUUCCGGUUUUAAUGAUGAUGUGAUUAUGUUUCUGUUUCCGGUUUUAAUGAUGAUGCGAUUAAAUUUCUGUUAUAUAGUUAUUAAGAUAUAAUGUUACAAAAAAGUAAAAUUGUUCCUGCAACGUAUAAUGUUACAUAGAACAUCAAAAUAUUCGAUUAUUCUGAGUGCAGGCAGAAGAAUAAUCUCAUUAUAAUUAGAACAACAAUGACUGGAAACACAUGCUUUAUACACAAUACUCAACAGCAAAUAAAUAGGGAACAAAGAAUUGUGCCAACUGAAUCCUACCUCUGGAUCAUCAAAAGCAGCAAAUACAGCAUCCAGAUUUACAUUUUCGUAAACGAUAAGUUGUACAGGAGUGUAAUCCUUAAGAAACCACUCAUCCUUCCUGAUUUCUACAAUUGUAAUUCGCUGCCAGGAAAAAAUGAGCAAGGCUACAUUUGUCAGAAUUUGCAACUUGAGAUGAAAAGAGUAAUUGUGGACAACUUCACCUGACAACUAUGUCAUGUAAUGCUUUCAAUUGGCACAUUAUCCAUAUUGUAUAGACAACUGGCACUAUUCUUUCAAGCUGCUGCUCUUGCACAACAUUUAUCUUCAUCAGAUUUUGGUAGCAAUGAUAAUGCGAGACUGGAUAUGAAAAUUUAUUAGAAAAUCAAAUACACAAUCCUUUAUAUAUAAUUUAGAAUAUAGGAAUAGCUAGAAUGAGUUAAGUACCUGAAGCUCUUCCAGUAUUAUACAAUAUAUUCCAAUCUUCCAUGUAAUCUCACCUGCAAACACACAGACCCACAAGUACACAUCAUCAAAAUAGUCAAAGUUAAAACUCAAGAAAAAAGACAGAGCCGAAGAAAGAAAACAUACGGCUGGAUGUGUCCACCAAUGCCACAAUUUUUUAUUCAUAUAACUUUAGAAAAUUAGUUUACAGGAAUAGCAAGAAUGAGUUAAGUACCUGGAGCUCUUCUAUAGCAGACUCUGUAAUCGGAUUUAUGCGUCUCACUCACUAACAACCUGUUAUAUGACACAAAGUUUAGAACAUCAAACCAUGUAUAAUAGUUAUUGAACAAAAACCAUAAACUAACAUAAGGAACUCACAAGCUAUGCUGAGUUCUGUAGUACUGCGGCAAGCUAAGAAUUACUGUUAAUAACAACUUUCAUUUUCUUGAAGAUGCAACAACUUAAAUCGGCAAUGUAACCCCAUUAAGAAUUGUACGAACUCGCGAGGAUGGAUAUGAUUUUAGCAACAGACAUCUUACCAUAUCCUUCAGGAUCCUUUCAAAUGAAUCUCAUCAGAUGAUCUGUGGUCGCCAAGUUCAAGUCGCUGAAAUAAUAACAGUGAUUUUAAGUAGUUAACAACUUGGAAACCAAAAUUGGGAUCACAAGUCUUAAAAGAGGAUCUCAAGUCUGAAUCUAACUAAGAACAUUCAAGCUCACCAUAUUCUGGUAAACCAUUUUUCGAAAGGAAGCUCCAGUGUCAAUAGCUUGAUCGUUCUUAGAUUCUCUCUUAUGAUCUUUUCGAUCAUUCUUCUUCACAACCAAAUCCGGUUCCUACUCACCACCACGCUGCUGAUGAUCUCGAUGAACACUGUGAUUCUUCACCGGAACAUAUUGCUGAUUAUGAUGACGAUUGUGAUGAUGGUGAAAGCGAUUAAACAAAAUCAAUCAAGAAGAGAAGAAGAACAAAAAGAGGCGAGAGUUACAAUCGUUUUUUAGGUCAUCGUGAAAAGAUCCGCUUGUGUCGGAUCCAUUUUAAUUCCUAUAGGAUCCGCGUGUUUUUAAGAUGGGUCAGGUUUUGGGUAGGGUCAAUUAGUUGAUUUCUACCGAUUUUAGCCUCAAAAUAACGUUAUGUCCAAACGAAAUUUGUGGCAUUUCUCGUAAUUACUCCCUCCGUAUUUUAUUAAUUGUCGUUUUAGAAUUUGUAUCUUGUGAGAUUGGAUGUCGUUUUCAAAUUUUCUAUGCAAAAUUUUUUCCUUUUUUAAUGUUUUUAUCAAUAUUUGAAAAAGUAAAAUUUGAAAAAGUAAAAUUUUUAAUGUUUUAUGAUAUCAUAAAACAUUAAAAAGUAAAAAAUUUUGCAUAGAAAUUUGAAAACGACAUCCAAUUUAAAAAAAUAAAAAUUCUAAAACGACAAUUAAUAAAAUACGGAGGGAGUAUAUGAUUUUUUUUUAAGGCAGCUUGUAAUUUUCUCGAAAUCGGCUCAAUUGAGCCAAUUUUACUCUAAUCAGCUCAGAUGUCUCCUCAAAUAAUAGUAUAGAUAAUUUAGAAAAUAUAUCACGCACGGGUUAUUAAUGUAGUUCUAGAGUAUAAUAGGAUGUUUAAUUUGUGGGAUCCACUUAAACCUUUUCUUUAGGUUGUUUAUUUUGUUGGAUGAUUUAAUGAAAUCAAUUAGGCGGUUCUUGUUCCUAAACUGAGAGACGAGAAAGAAGAACCAAGAAGAACCAAGAAGAACCAAAAUCUUGAAGUUCGUAUUCGUAAGUUCUUUCGCUUAAUCUUAAUCUCUCCUCUUUCCUGCAUUUCUCUUUUCGAUUUUCUGAGAUUCACGCCUUCCUUCUUCUGCCUUUUCUUUGAUUUCGUCGCCUCCGCCUUUUGAUAUUUCUAAUGCUUAAAUAAGCCCUUCGAAUGUAUGGAGUUUAUAAACUUUUGGUCGUUUUUAGUAGUAGUGAUGGUUUCCCUUGAGAAUGAAGUGGGUAUAUAUAUAUAUAUAGGACGUAAACACUUAGGGCUAGUUGUAAUACAUUUUCUAAAAAACUUUGUGAUCAAGCAAAAUAUCUUUGUGUUAAUUAUAAUUGGUUAUACUUAGAAAAUAAAAUAAAUAAAAUAUAGGUUGUUAUGGAAUUAGUUCCAAAAAUACUUGAACAAAUAAUGGAUAUAAAUAAGAAUAUGCUUAUACUCCCUCCGUUUCAAAAUAUAAGGCGUUUUAGGUAAAAGCACGUCGAUUAAGAAGAUUUAUUUUUAAAAAGUUCAGCCAAUCAUAAAAGAGACUGCAUAAUAAAAAUAAUCAUAAAGUAUUAAAGUAAUAUAUAAUUUGCAUAGAAACUUGAAAACGACUUAUAUUUUGAAACAAAAAAGUUUCUCCAAAACACCUUAUAUUUUGAAACGGAGGGAGUAUAUAUAAAUCUAAUAUCUUGAUAGUUAAUAUCUCUUAAUAUUAGUAUCCUAUACUAUUAAUUGGGGAGUACACUUUAUAAGAUACCCUUAACUAACCUUUCCGUUUGUAAAAAAUUACUUAAGAAUGCCAUUACAAAAUCUUAUUUUAGAACAAAUUUCAUUCAAUUUAUUAAGGAUAAAUAAGUAAAAUACUAAUUUAUGUCAUUUAAUUAAUUUAAUUAAAUUAUAAAACGAAAAUCUGUUAUUUUUUUUUAAAUGACCAAUCAAAAUGAACAUAUAAGAUUUGAUAUCUAACUUACCAUAUUAAUUUGUUAUUAAUCAUUAAACUUCACCUCUCAUCUUUAUAUGAUUAUAUUUAUAUGAAACAAAUAAAUCAUCAUAUCAUCUACAUAAUAAAAAAAAAAGUAAUUUUUUUUCUGCAUAUGCCAAGAUUUGAAUUUUUAAAAACGCAUAUAAAUUGUUCAAUCUAUAAAGGAAACAAUUAAACGGGUCAAAAAUUCAGACUUGAGUAAUAUAUUUCUUUUAGACAAAAAUAAAUUCAACAAAAAUUCCGACUCAGCAAUAGGUCAGAAUUUGAAUAUUUAUAUUCGAUUUCAUACAUUAAUUUUUUUGAAAUGUAUAAUUUUAUAUACUACAAUAAAAAAAUUAAAUAUUUAAUUUGCAUCAUUUAAAAUAAUUUUUACUUGAUAUUUUUAGAGAAUAUCAUCAAUACAUAAUAGUUCAAAAAGUUAAAAAUUAUAAAUACUCUAAUUUGAUUAUUUUUAAAAAUAUUUAUAAUAGGUAGCAGGUUAAAUAUAAUAUAUUAUAUGAUGAAAUGAGUUUUGAUCCUUAUAACUAUUUGAAUAGUUAUAUUUAAUUUCAUAUAAUUUGUUUUUUGAAAUUCAUAAUUUUAUAAACUACAAAAAAAAUUUAAAGAUUUUAAUUUGGAAUGUUUAAAAAUAGUGUAGAACAUUUAAAUAUGGUUUGAGACCUCUAAAUAUUUGAAAAUUUGAUUCCGCAAGCAAUUUUAGAAUUAACGAAUAAUAGAUUGUGCACGCAAUAUUUUAAAAUGAAAUAUUGAGAUUCUAAAAUAAAAAUAUAGACUCCACGCACAGGUUGAUUUUGGUAUUAUUAUAUACUAAAUAUAUGUUUAUAACAUAUUCGAUUAUGCGAAUAAUUGGUAAAUUCCGUAGUUAUAAAUCUCAAACAAAUUCUGUAAUUAGAUUAGCUCAAACAAAUCUCAAUUUCAACAACCAAAGAAUUAUAAAUUGAAAAGGAAUUUUCUCAAUUAAUUCAAAAUAAUAGCUAAUUUUCUUAAUUAGUUCAAAAUAAUCUAUGUUUGAUAUGCGAUUCAUUUAUGAUAUUUUUAUUUUUGAUCUAACUGAAAUAUAUGCAAUACUAUUUUGUGGUUGUUAACAUAAAUUAACUCAUUGUUCAAAAAAUAUUUCUUUUUUAAAAAAUAAAAUUAUUUUCCGUUUUCAUAUCUUAAAAAAACAAAUUAUCCAACACACCAAAAAAAAAAACAAAUUAUCCACAAUUGAGUAUUAUAGAAAAAAAUCUAUAUUUAUUCUAAUUCUAAUAUUGUAUAUAGGGACUGACAAAAAAAUUAAUAUUUUUUCACUUACUAUUAUAAUAUAUUAAAACUUAGUUCUAAUAUAUAUAUUAUAUAAAUUUUGUAAUAAAUAAAAUUCAACCCGUACUUUAGUACGGGUGAUGAUCUAGUUUAAUUUAGGGAGACUCACAAAAAUGCCCCUUUUUUAAUACCCCUUUUCAAAAAUGCCCCCUUUGGAUGUCCAUUUUUAAAAAUACCCCUUUUAUGUACAAAAUGACUAAAUUACCCUUCUUUUAAUAAAAGAUAUCAUAAAUAUAUAAGGAAAUAUAACAAAAUUAGGUCCACAAAAUACAAAAUAUUUUUUGGCGGGAAAAGUGAUCCCCAAUUUUUCUCGCCAUGACACUUGUAAAAAUUUGNNNNNNNNNNNNNNNNNNNNNNNNNNNNNNNNNNNNNNNNNNNNNNNNNNNNNNNNNNNNNNNNNNNNNNNNNNNNNNNNNNNNNNNNNNNNNNNNNNNNGGUUUUUUACAAGGUCAGCACGAAGGUGAGACGCUGUGUUUAAAACAAUGAGAAUGAUAUUUCUAGUAUUUUCAUAAUAUUAUAAGUUACACACGCGUAUAAUAUAAGGUUGUUACAAGUUAUAAGGUUAUACAAGUUUUUUAUAAGGUUUUACAAGUUAUAAAUACCUUAUAAAACCUUAAAAGUACAUUGUAAAACCUUUUAAAAUACAUUGUAAAACCUUACAGAACACUUGUAAAUACCUUGUAAAAAACCUUUAAAAUACCUUGUAAAUUUUUCCCGCCAAAAAUUUUCCCGCCAAAAAAAUUUCGCAAAAAAAAUUGCGGAAUCACUUUUCCCGCAAAAAAAUUUUUUUGGCGGGAAAAUUUUUUGGCGGGAAAAAUUUUUACGGGAAAAUUUUACAAGGUUUUUUAAAGGUUUUUACAAGUGUUUUGGCGGGAAAAUUGCGGGAUCACUUUUCCCGCCAAAAAAUAUUUUGUAUUUUGUGGACAUAAUUUUGUUUCAAAUAAGGGUAAAAUGGUCAUUAAAAAUUAAAAGAGGGCAAACUUAAAAAUGGACUCUCAAAAGGGGCAUUUUUGAAAAGGGGUAUUGAAAAAGGGGCAUUUUUAACAAUUUCUCUUUAAUUUAUUCAAUAACUAUCCAUAAAUAUAUGACAAUUGAAUAUAUGCUAAAAGAAUACGAUUUUAAAAAAGAAUAUUAGAAUAUCUUGUUGGAUAAGUAAUUUUUAGAAUAUUAUAGAUGUUGUAAAUUCCUAUGAUAUAGAAGUACUCCCUCCGUUUUCGAAUAGUUGCCGUUUUAGAGAAAUUUUUUUGUUUUUAAUUAGUUCUCGUUUUCAGUUUUCGAUGCAAAAUUUAUUAUUUUUUUAUUUUUUAUAUUUAUUUUUAUUAUGCAACUUGAUUUACUAUUGGUUAAAUUAUGUUUUGGUAGAUAAUUAAUGAUAUUUUUAUAUUGAAAAACUAACAACAUUAAUAGUUUCUUAAUUUGUGUGCAUAUAGUUAAAACGACAACUAUUCGAAAACGGAGGGAGUAUUAAUUAGCUUUUCAAUUUAGAAUAGCGAUUACUUAAAAAAUUAUUUAAAAAAAAAACAAUUUUCCAAAUUUCUUAAUGAUAAAAAUCGGAUUAAUAAUUUACUUAUCUAACUUCCUAAUUUUUAAAAAAUCGAAUUAAUAAUUGCAAACUUGAAUAUUGUUAUAUAUUAUAUCUUUAGAUUCAUUUUAGUUAUUCUGUCAGAAAUUCUAAUUACUAGGUUAAUUGGGCUAUUCACGAUACAAGUCUAACAUUGAUUUAUAAUAAGAUAUAAGAUAUAUUCACUAAAUCGAUGGAAAAUAAAUUAGAAAUUUCUUUGUACUUAUUACUUUUGUGGUAUAAAAUAUGAAGACCGAGAUUACUUUCCUUUUGUACUUUCAAAAAGAGAAAGGGUAAAUGUAUUUGACCUCGUUUUUAGGGAAACUGUUAGACAUAAAUAUUUAAUUAUAUAAUAAAAUUGAAAUUAUAGCCGUUUCCGAAAAAGUCUCUUUAAGAUUUUUGGAAAUGGUUAUAUUUUCAUAUUUAUUACGAUUUAACACGCCUAAGGCGGUGGACCUAAAUCUUUAAUAUAUAAUAAAUAAAUUCAAUAAAAUAAAGACGUUUCGAUAUAUUCAAUAGGCGCGUGAAUCCGGUGAGUGAGAUCCACCGCACCUCUUUAUAAGCAGAGUAGAGCUGUAGUGGACACAAUCACAUCACACCAUCUCGACCUAAAAACACUUCUCUCUUCUUUCUUAUCAUUGUAUUUCAUUUCAUAAAAAUCUCGAUGGGAUUAGAUUAGAGCAUCUUGAUAUGGAAAUCAGAAAUAAGAGAGAUCUAACUUAGUUUUCUUCUAUUCUUUUAUAAUUUUUUCUUUGUUAAGUAUGUUCUUAACUCGUUUUAUAAACCUAUCACUUCUUUCUUAUCCCUGAAUUUCAUAUAGAUCUGCUUGGAUAGAGAAUCUAGACAUGGAAAUCAGAGAUAAGAGAGAGCUGUAUACGUUUUCUUCUAUUUCUUAUCUUUAUCUACUGUUAGUUUAUUCUUAUAAGCAUUUGAAUAUCUUUCUCUCCAAGAACUGCAUGAUUUCUGUACUUUUUUUUAUUUUAUUGUUGAAAAUUGAUUUGAGCCUCUAAUAUGAGAUUAGUGUUUGCUUUUAAAUGAUAAUAAUAUUAUUGAAACUGAAAGUUCUAUUUUAGCAUCGAAUUAAUUUGAGAUUAGGGUUUUCUAUUCAGCUUUAGCAAAAAAAAAAGAAAGGGCUUGCGUGUCAAAGAAAUAAACCCACCCAUUUGGUUCGGCCCAAGCCUAUAUAAACAUGCGAAUGCACAAUUAUACCCUUGUGUGUCUCUUUCUGAUCCGUCGAGUCGUCGCUUAUGUUUUUUUUUCCUCAACCGUCGAGUCGUCGCUUAAACAGUUAAACCCUUAGUAUUUCUCUUCCGGCUACGUUCACCAUCUCAGAGGUAGGUUCCGGUUGAAUUUUUUCUUGAAGAUCUGAUUGAAAUUUGUCCGUUUUUAGUAUUUAUCUCGGUUUUUCUCUUGAAAAUUGGUGAAUGCUUAUAUCGCUUUAGUGGAUUAGGGUUGCUUCUGCUUUCAAUUUCUUCGAAAUUUGAAGACGUUGAACCAUUGCCUUAUUUCGUCGUGUAUUUUGGAACUAUUAAACCACAAUUUCGGCUUUCACGAUUCUGUGGAUGUAAGGAUCUUGAAUCUUGUAAAGAUACGUUUAGUUUGCCUGAUGAAUUUGUCCAUUUUUGGUAUUUAUUUUGGAUUUUCUGUUAACAAUCUAAUCAACAAUGUUUGUAUUCGUCACUAUGAUCUGAUUGAAAUUAGGGUCUUCCUCCAUGGGAUCUACACAGAAGGAGAAACGUAAAGCUUUAAUUUCAAGAAAAUCUUCUCUGCUUGAAGAUAGAUUAAAAGCAGUUGCGGCUGGGGAGAAUCAGUAUGCUCACACCUUCUCGGUGGAAAUGUCAAUUCCAGAUUUUAUCAAAAGAGGAUAUUGUGUUGGCCCUGAAACCUCUCUAGCAGGGCGAAUCAUGAAUAAGCGGAAAUCUUCUUCCAAGCUCCUCUUCUAUGAUCUACAUGGUCAGGGUUCCAAGGUCCAAAUUAUGGCUAAUGCAAGUGAGUCAACGUUAAGCUUUGAUGACUUUUCAAAGCUUCACUCUAGAGUCAAGCAUGGAGACAUCGUUGGAAUCAUUGGUAUUCCAACGAAAACCAAAAAAGGAGAGUUGAUGAUUUUAUCACGAGAGUUCAGUCUUCUAUCAUAUUGUUUAUACGCAAAUACAUCAGAAUACGAAAACCAAAAAAGGAGAGUUGAUGAUUUUAUCACGAGAGUUCAGUCUUCUAUGUAAACAAUAUGAUAACAAUAUUAAACCAGCUUGUAAUUGAAAACAAUAUGAUAUAUCUGAUGUAUUCUGAUGUAUUUGCGUAUAGCUCCUGAGCUAUAUCUGAAGCAGCUUGUAAUUGGUGGAUUUGAUCGAGUGUUUGAGAUUGGAAAACAAUUUAGAAAUGAGGGUAUUGACAUGACCCAUCAUCCGGAGUUCACCAGCUGUGAGUUCUAUAUGGCAUAUGCAGACUACAGCAAAUUGAUGAGAAUGACUGAGGAUAUGUUGAGUGGUUUGGUGAAGGAGAUUACAGGUGAUUGCAAAAUCAAGUACCAUGCUAAUGGGUAUGAUAAGGAACCAAUCGAGAUCGACUUCACUCCUCCAUACAGAAGGCUUGAUAUGAUAGAAGAGUUGGAGAAAGCGGCUCAGCUUAAAAUUCCAAAAGACUUGGCCAGCAAAGAAGCCAACACGUAUCUGAUUGAUGCAUGUGUAAAGCUUAAUGUCAAUUGCCCUUCUCCCCAGACAACAUCUCGACUUUUAGCAAAGGUAAAAACUCUUCUGUCUCCUUCUUUUGUUAACAGUAUAGUAGUGGUUUAAAUCUUUCUUUUCUUUUGCAGCUUGUUGGAAAGUAUGUGGAGGAGAUGUGUGAAUCCCACAUUCAUCAUCAACCAUCCGGUAAUCAUGAGUCCAUUUGCUAAAAGUCAUAGAUAUAGUGAUGAUCUGACUGAAAGAUUCGAGCUCUACAUAGUCAAACAAGAAGUAAGUAAAAACUGACAUGUUACAUGCCCUUUUUUAUUCUUGUUUGAUGGGACAGAGCUUUUUUUAUGUAUAUGUUUAUCUGUCCUAGCUCUGCAAUGCCUACACCGAGUUGAACAAUCCGGUGGUUCAGCGAGAGCGAUUUGCUCAUCAGCUCAGGGAGAGAGAAUCUGGAGAUGAAGAAGCAAUGGUCUUGGAUGAGUCUUUCUGUGUAGCUCUUGAACAUGGAUUGCCUCCUACAGGUGGUUGGGGUAUGGGAAUUGACCGACUCACCAUGCUUUUGACGGAUUCCCUGAAUAUCAGGGUCAGUGUUUUUCUCUCUCCCUCUCUCUAAUGUCUUUCUCUAUCUCAUGGAGAGAGAAUCUGGAGAUGAAGAAGCAGUGGUCUUGAAUUAUUUGUUGCAGGAUGUUAUUAGCUUCCCAACAACUCAAUCUGGAUUCUGAAGAUGUAAUUCAACAAUGUGGUUUUCUUUUGAUACUUUGAACUAUUCUUUAAUUCUUGAUUUUUUUGGCAUAUUUUGUUGACAAUAUGUUUUCUGUUGGGAAACUUACUUUUUGACUAUUCUAUUGAUCUUUUUGAGUAUUCUUAUUUCUUCAAUUUUUGGGCAUAUUUUGUUUUUGUGUAAAAAAAAUCAAAUAAGUCGAAUGUGGUGGAUAAUUGAUAUGGAGAGAGAGAGUGAAUGAUGAAAGAAAAAAAAAAAAAAAAGAGAGAGAGAGAGUGAAUAAAGGUGGAAGAGACAAGUGGAGAAAGAGAAGACACCUAGAUGCAAAGGUGUCACACACAUGAGGACCAUCGAUAUUUCUCAACAAAUUUAGAUGACAAACAUUAUCACAACAUUUAUCAAUCACAAGCUCUUUAAUAAUAAAGAUUUGGUAUAAACAGAAUCUAAAGUUUAGAUUCUUUCUAUCCUUUGCAUUUUACCGGUUCAAUUGCAUAAUCCUGUUUCUCAUGUAAAUCAGACCGGAUAUAAAAGGCUAAACAAACCGGAUAUACAAAUGGACUACUGUUGUUAAAUUUUGGUUAAUUAACCGGUUUCAAUUGCAUACCGAGAUUUUAUAAAAAUCAGACCGGCUAUAUCAUGACAUUAGUGAAAUGUAUUCGAUUACUGCCUUAAAGGCUUAAACCCUGGAGAAAAAAAACGUACUCGUUAAUUCUCCGGGAACCGAAUCUUCACCCGAAAUAUGGGUGGUGGUCCGAGAAUUUUCCCUGGAGGACUCAAUAAGUGGCAAUGGAAACGUAUGCACGAGAAGAAAGCUAGAGAGAAAGAGAACAAGCUCUUGGAUCAAGAGAAACAGCUUUACGAAGCUCGAAUCAGGACCGAGAUCCGAGCUAAAAUGUGGGGUAAUUCCGAUUCCGGCGAGAAAACGAAGAAAUCGAGUCAGAGUCACGGACCAAUGAGCCCGAAAGAACAUAUCAAAACCUUGGCUGAUCGGUUUAUGAAAGCUGGAGCAGAAGAUUUGUGGAACGAGAACGAUGGGCCGGUGAAGGAAUCAGAUGAUGGAUGGGGAUUAUCUCGUAGGGAUAAUGGACGGUCAGGUUCGAAUUCGAUUGAUUCUUCUUCUAAUUCGUCUAUUGAUGUGAGGAAGUUAGUUAGUGGUAGGAGAGGUUUUUCGAGUAUGAGAAGAGGUAGAUUUAAGAGAAAUGAGAGUUCUUGUGAUGAAGGAGAUGACUUUGAUGCUAAAAAGUUAGAUACUUUGAGUCCUUUUUCUCCUAAAUUUGCGGGUACCAAGGAGAAAGUGAAGAGCUCGAAGAGUGUUGUUGGAGUUAUAAGGAACAAAGGUUUGUUUGGGAGAAGGAAGUUUAGGAAGAAUGAUAGUUCAACUGAAGAGGAUUCAGAGGAAGAAGGCGAAGAGGGAAAGAUGAACGGUUGGAUGGAUUUGAGGAAAACAGGAAGCAGUGCGGCGUUAGGAAACCACGAUAUCAAACUGACGAAAAGAGUGAAUCGUAAUGUCACGGACGAAGGGCUAUAUCCUCCGUUGGAUAUUAAUACAGUCAGAGAAGAUCUUAGUAAAAGAAAAUCUGUGGAUAAUGUAAUGGAGGAGAACCGAGAGCCUCAUGACUCGAUUUUCAGUGGAAAAAGGUAUGUUAAGACGCACUGUGUUAAGGAUUUUGAUUUGUCAAGUUUGAAUCUUGAUGAGCUUUUUCCCCUUCUGUAAAUGGUUGCAGAUUUGAUGAGUCUAGUAUAUCUCCUUUGACGCUAAAGGCGCUUUCUGUGUCUGGCAUUGUUAAGAUGACUAGAGUACAGGAUGCCACUCUCUCUGAGUGCCUAGAUGGUAUGUAUUCUUAUAGUUCGUUUCUUGUCCCAGUUCUUCUCUGACUACUCUGCUUUGGUAGUUUGGUUUUAAUUUCUUCUUUUUGCUCAAAUGGUUAGCAUUUGACAACAUAUUAUCCUUUAUGUAAAGCAGGUAAAGAUGCAUUAGUCAAAGCCAAAACCGGGACAGGAAAAAGCAUGGCGUUUUUGGUAUUUUACAAUCCCUUAUCCUGAGAUCAUGGGCCUUAGCUUUUGUUGUUUCUUUAGAUAACGCUGUUAGAUUGAAAAAACAGCUUCCUGCAAUUGAAACAGUUCUGAAAGCUAUGAACAGCGGUAAUGGCGUUCACAAAGUUGCUCCGAUAUUUGCUCUUAUCCUCUGCCCCACAAGAGAACUUGCAAGCCAGCGGUAAUGGCAUUUUCAUGCUAAGAACAACCUUUUAUGGAUAUUUAACGGAUUAGACUUGGUAUUGUGUUGUUGGUAGGUCGGUAUACCGAGUGACAGAGAACAGUAUAUACAUCGGCUUGGUAGAACCGGGAUAGAAGGCAAAGGAGGUGAAAGAUUGCUUUUGAUUGCGCCAUGGGAGAGAUAUUUUCUUGAUGAGCUUAAAGAUUUGCCUCUUGAGCCAAUUCCAGUUCCAGAUCUUGAUUCAAGAGUUAAACUUCAGGUUUGUUUGAAUUUACUAUUAUCAUCCCCCUAAAUGAAUUUCAUUGCCAAGUGACACUGAGGACAAUUGUUUUGUAACCAGGUUGAUCAGUCUAUGGCUAAGAUUGAUACAAGUAUUAAAGAAGCAGCGUACCAUGCUUGGCUCGGUUAUUACAACUCGGUUAGAGAAACCGGUAGAGACAAAACCACGUUGGCCGAGUUAGCUAACCGGUUUUGCCAUUCUAUCGGUUUAGAGAAACCUCCUGCUUUGUUUCGAAGAACGGCGGUUAAGAUGGGUCUCAAAGGUAUUUCUGGUAUUCCAAUCCAAAAAUAAACCGACCCGGGUUGGUAAUUAGAUGUAUCCUCGAGAAAUGUAUGAACACAUUUAUGGUCAACAUCAAAUUUAAAUAAUUUUGUUAUUUAAUUAUCAAUAUACGAUUUAUUUAUUUUUUUUAUUUUUUUGUCAAACCACACAUUAAUCAAAAAAUAACUCUAUGAUAUAAUUUACUUUUUAAUUACAGAAAUAUUUAUUUGUCUAAGUCAUGUGUUUAUUCAUCAUAUAUUUGACUAUUUGAGGAAGUUUUUGUUUAUUAUUAAUCGUGACAAUUGAGAUGCAACUAAUUGACUAUAUGUAAGUGAGGGUAAAAUACAUAUGAUACAUGAUUUGCUCAAUAAUAACAUCAUUGAUCUCAGUUCAAAGUUAUAAACUAAUAAAUUACGAACAAAAAUGAAGUUAAUAAUUUACUAACUAAUUGCAUAUAGGAACAAAGAUAAUUAAUCUGUACAUAUAUCAUCUUUUUGCAUAACAAACACAUGCAUCUAGUUCAAGCUAAGCCUUGAUGACCAUCUAACUUUUUACCAAAUCAUGAACAUCAACUUUCUUCACAACUCUAAUUAACAUGAAACUUAAGUCUUAAAUUUACUUGAAAACAUGUUAAAUUUCUAACACCUCUAAGGAACCAUAGAAGAUCCUAAGAAUAGUAUCAGACUAUAUCCAUCAACAUUUUUUUAUUAAGAAUAUGAAAAAGAAACUUAAAUAUUAAAUUUAUGUUACGUGAAAACAUGUUGAACUUCUAACACCUCUGACGAACCAUAGGAGAACCUAAGGAUAGGAUGCGAAAUCCGGUUUGUUUUCAUGGUUUUAAAAUUUAACAUUUAAGUUUCUUUGAAAAGAAAAAUUAGUAUAUUUAUAAAAGCCUUAGGUAAAUUAAAAAUGUUUACAACAAUUAUUUAGUGUGCGAAACCUCAUUUUUAACACAGUUUUAAAAAUAUUUUUUUUUAAUUAAAGAUAUUAAAGUAAAAGAAAAUAGGUAAAUUAAAAAAAAAAAACAUAGUAGAAUUAAGGAGGAUGCUGUAAAAUUAAGGAGCGAGGGAGUAUCGUUCCAACUUACCCGGAAACCCGACCCAGAAGAUAACCGGAAUCAUACCGGUGACGUAAUUGAUCAAGAAGACCUCUUGACCUUCAUUAUAAUAAAAUCAAUUUCUUGAGGAGAAAGCAAGUCACGAAGUUUUCAAUGGCUCCAUGGGUUUCAGAGUGAAGGAACUUUUCCAAGGUUAACAAGAGAGUUCCAAAUAAUCAAAUCUUUCUCAAUCUUAAUUGUCUCCAUGCAAGUAACAUCUUCAACUACACGACAUACCCAAAAUUUUGAAAGAUUUCUCCUUUUUUUUUUUUUUUUUUUUAAAAACAAUUGGCUCAUGCAUGCGUAUCGUCGAAUAUAUAGAUCAGUUUAUGGUGACAUAGGCUGCAUGAUUUUUAUUUUUAAUCAAUCGUACCUCAAAUUUUGGGUUUAAAUCUUAAAUAUGCAAUUUUUUAUAGGCUAUUGAUGAAAUUGUUUUUUGUGUUAUGGUUUUUAUGUGUUGGAUUGUGUUCAUUUAGGAGUAAUAGUUCUUUUUUUAUUUGUUUUUUUGGAACAAAUUAGGAGUAUAGUAGUUAAUGUUUGUUCAUUAUAGAAAUUAAAAUCCAUAAUAACAACAAUAAAACUUAUACAAACUUCCGAAUGACAAAGUGGUAUGUUGUAUUUUGCUAGAAACAUAAACUAGAAUUUUUCAAUAAUAAGUUUUAGCAUUAGGUAUUCGCACAAGGCAACAUUCCAAAAGCAGCAAUUUAACUUGUUGUCUUUGUUCUUUCCGGUGAAACGAACAUCUCCAUAACAGAAACUAAUAAACUCCUCCACAAUAUUUUUUUUUUGUUUAAAGUACAUCCAAUUUUUUGAUCCAUAAUAUCUUAAACAGUAGUUUUUUUCCAAAGUCUUCGAUAUUUUAUAUAUUUAUCGCUGUCAAAUAAUAUAGACAGAAAAUUUAUCUUUUAUUAAUUUAUCUAAUUCAUAAUCUUACAAAAAUACUACUAUAUGGUUACUAUUUAGACAUGAAUUUUAUUUGUCAAAACAGUAGAGUGAUGUCAUGUGUAUACAGUAAACGUAUAUCACAUAUUCGUUGAGCUGUUCAUUUUAUUCUAAAACUGAUCAAGAGUCGUUGUCGUUGACGCCUGACCAUCGUCAGAUAUCCUUGACGUGUCUUGAUCCAAAGGGCUUACAAAUUCUAAGAAAUCCACUUUGAAAUAUUUUAAAUCUCGAAUUUGUUUUACAUUACAUGCCAUUUAUACGUUUUUUUUUUCUUUCUAACAAACCGUGUAAAUAAUAUAACAUUUCCAAACGAGAUCUAUACAAACUCUUUUUUUUUUUUUUUUUGCAAAAAUUGUAAAUAUUAUUUAGGAAUGAAAGUUGAGAUUUAGAGAAGCUAGAACUAUAAAUUUCGCCUUGCUAAAAAAAAGAAACAAGGAGCAUAAAGAAGAGAAUUAAAGAGAUUCAAUAGGCGUGAAUUAGUGCAGCCACAACUGCAUAAGUCUUGAAUAACUGCGUAUAUGACAUUUUGCAGAUUGAAUUACGGACUAGCCUUUCGAUCUUUCUGAAGACUGUCUAUGGCAGUUUGACUUAGCUAUACAAAUUCUGAUAUCAUUUUUUCUUACAAGGUUUCCCAUUUUGCAGGGAAGGCAAUGUUGGGAAAAUUCGAGCUUAACGAUCUAGAAAUAUCAAAACAUAUAUUAUAAACUCGCUCAACUUACAAAAAGGAUUGAUAAAAACGUUCGCAAUCGUCUCAGCUCGAUCCCCACUGGUGGCUUUGAGAAAGGUCUUCGGUUGUGGUUUGCCUCAAGAAUGUAGCUCAAACAAGUGAUCCCCCAAAACUCUAUUGUAAUUUCAACAAAUUCGGCAAAACUGAUGCAUUCAUUGUAACACGCUUUUUUGGGUUGAAUAUAAUUGCACAAUCUAUUAUUCGUUAAUUCUAAAAUUGCUUGCGGAAUCAAAUUUUCAAAUAUUUAGAGGUCUCAAACCAUAUUUAAAUGUUCUACACUAUUUUUAAAUAUUCCAAAUUAAAAUCUUUAAAUUUUUUUUGUAGUUUAUAAAAUUAUGAAUUUCAAAAAACAAAUUAUAUGAAAUUAAAUAUAACUAUUCAAAUAGUUAUAAGGAUCAAAACUCAUUUCAUCAUAUAAUAUAUUAUAUUUAACCCGCUACCUAUUAUAAAUAUUUUUAAAAAUAAUCAAAUUAGAGUAUUUAUAAUUUUUAACUUUUUGAACUAUUAUGUAUUGAUGAUAUUCUCUAAAAAUAUCAAGUAAAACUUAUUUUAAAUGAUGCAAAUUAAAUAUUUAAUUUUUUUAUUGUAGUAUAUAAAAUUAUACAUUUCAAAAAAAUAAAUGUAUGAAAUCGAAUAUAAAUAUUCAAAUUCUGACCCAUUGCUCAGUCGGAAUUUUUGUUGAAUUUAUUUUUGUCUAAAAGAAAUAUAUUACUCAAGUCUGAAUUUUUGACCCGUUUAAUUGUUUCCUUUAUAGAUUGAACAAUUUAUUUGCGUUUUUAAAAAUUCAAAUCUUGGCAUAUGCAGAAAAAAAAUUACUUUUUUUUUUAUUAUGUAGAUGAUAUGAUGAUUUAUUUGUUUCAUAUAAAUAUAAUCAUAUAAAGAUGAGAGGUGAAGUUUAAUGAUUAAUAACAAAUUAAUAUGGUAAGUUAGAUAUCAAAUCUUAUAUGUUCAUUUUGAUUGGUCAUUUAAAAAAAAAAUAACAGAUUUUCGUUUUAUAAUUUAAUUAAAUUAAUUAAAUGACAUAAAUUAGUAUUUUACUUGUUUAUCCUUAAUAAAUUGAAUGAAAUUUGUUCUAAAAUAAGAUUUUGUAAUGGCAUUCUUAAGUAAUUUUUUACAAAAGGAAAGGUUAGUUAAGGGUAUCUUAUAAAGUGUACUCCCCAAUUAAUAGUAUAGGAUACUAAUAUUAAGAGAUAUUAACUAUCAAGAUAUUAGAUUUAUAUAUACUCCCUCCGUUUCAAAAUAUAAGGUGUUUUGGAGAAACUUUUUUGUUUCAAAAUAUAAGUCGUUUUCAAGUUUCUAUGCAAAUUAUAUAUUACUUUAAUACUUUAUGAUUAUUUUUAUUAUGCAGUCUCUUUUAUGAUUGGCUGAACUUUUUAAAAUUAAAUCUUCUUAAUCGACGUGCUUUUACCUAAAACGCCUUAUAUUUUGAAACGGAGGGAGUAUAAGCAUAUUCUUAUUUAUAUCCAUUAUUUGUUCAAGUAUUUUUGGAACUAAUUCCAUAACAACCUAUAUUUUAUUUAUUUUAUUUUCUAAGUAUAACCAAUUAUAAUUAACACAAAGAUAUUUUGCUUGAUCACAAAGUUUUUUAGAAAAUGUAUUACAACUAGCCCUAAGUGUUUACGUCCUAUAUAUAUAUAUAUAUACCCACUUCAUUCUCAAGGGAAACCAUCACUACUACGUAUACUAAAAACGACCAAAAGUUUAUAAACUCCAUACAUUCGAAGGGCUUAUUUAAGCAUUAGAAAUAUCAAAAGGCGGAGGCGACGAAAUCAAAGAAAAGGCAGAAGAAGGAAGGCGUGAAUCUCAGAAAAUCGAAAAGAGAAAUGCAGGAAAGAGGAGAGAUUGAGAUUAAGCGAAAGAACUUACGAAUACGAACUUCAAGAUUUUGGUUCUUCUUGCACUACAAGAAAACCUGCGUUUUGCAACUAACUUUUGCGACUAAAUAUUUAGUCGCAAAUCUCUGCGACUAUUUACCGACGUUAUUGCGACUAUUUACUGACGAAAAACAAUAUGGACGUAUAUUAGUCGCAAAUCAGCGACUAAACAAAACAGUCGGUAAUUAGUCGUCCAUUAGCGACAUAUUUGCGACCGAUGACAGACUAAAAUGUUUUGGUCACAAUUCAGUCGCAAACGUGCGACUGAUGUGCGACUAGUUAUUUGGUCAGAAGUGGUAGUCGCAAUUUAGUCUCAAAAGAGCGACGAUGUAACGACCACUUAUUAUAGUUACGCUUUAGUCUCAAAAGAGCGACGAUGUAACGACCGUUUUGCGACAAAUGUAUAUUGAAACGCUUAUUCUCUCCACCAAUUUUCUCUUAGUCGCUAAAUAGUCGGUAUUUUGCGACUAGCACCUGAAGAUUUUGCGACUGUUUUGCGACUAGCACCUGAGAUUGCGACCUAUUUGCGACUAUUUACCAACUCUCGAUUUUUGUUUUCUCAAUUUUCACGUUUUAAAUUUGCUUACAUAUAAAGUUAAACAUUUCUACACUUAUUUGAUAUUACUCAUUAAGAAAAUUUUAACCAAAGUCAUAAAUACUGAUGUUUAGAAACAAAACAUCAUCAAAAACAAACAAAUCUCUUUAUGAUAUUACAUUACUCAUAUGAGUAAUGUUUAGGGAUUUAGUAAAAACUCUAAAUUACUUGAGUUUUGCAAAGUUUUGUAACCUUAAACUAAUAUAUGUCCUCUAUAACCCUAAUAUGAGUGUUAUAGAGUGAUAUAUGUCACCAUUUUGGAUCGAAAUGUGUAGAUUUCUAAAUUUUGCCUUGUGACUAAUAGAUCACAGUCACACAAACGUCGCAAAUUUGCCACCAUUUUGGAACGAUUUCCCAUUGUGCGACUAUUUUGCGACCAUUGUUGCAACUAUAUACCGACUACCAUUGCGACUAUUUUGGUACUGAAUAUGAAAUUACUUGAGUUUUGCAAAGUUUUGUAACCUUAAACUAAUAUAUGUCCUCUAUAACCCUAAUAUGAGUGUUAUAGAGUGCCAUAUAUAACCAUUUUGGAUUGAAAUGUGUAUACCUCUCCUUUUGCGUUGUGACUAUAGAUUAUAGUCACAAUCUAGUUGCAAAUUUGCCACUAUUUUGGAACUGUUUACCAUUUAGCGACUAUAUUGUGACAAUUUGUGCAACUAUUUGCCGACCAUAAUUGCGACUAUUUAGGUACUAAAUGUGAAAUUUCUAAGAUUUUCGCUAAGUGUUCGGGCGGUUUAGAUUCCCCCCAAUUUUUUUACUUUGGUACCAUUUUGCGACUAAAACGAUCCCUCAUGUUAGGACUUAUGAACAUGUUUAAAUCAUCAACACUAAAUUUGUUAUUCUAAAUUAUUAAAAAUUAAUAUCAAACUGUAUGACAAAAAAAUUCAAGUAUAAGUUUUUGUAAAUUCUAAACUUUAAAACCUAAACACUUAUACUAAACUCUAAAACCAACACUUAUUACAAAUUUCGAAUUUAUUUUUCCCAAAUCUUUAAUUAUGAAUUCCAAACACUAAAUUAUGAAUUCUAACACUUAUAAUAUCAAAUCUUUAAACUUAAAUCCCAAACACUAAAUUAUGAAUUCUAAUACUUAACUAUAUAAUCAAUCAUUAAAAAAAAAAAACUAUAAAACUAAAAUAUAACUAUUUUUGCAAAUGAAGUUGAUUACAUGUGUUAUAUGUAAUAAAAUAGUUUUAGAAUAUCUAAUUUAUUUUCAUGAAUUUACAACAUAUUGCAAAACUAAUCUGUUAAUUAAAUGUGAAAAAUUAACAAAACAAUGCUAAACGUUAAAAAUGCAAAUAGAAAAAACUGUCAUUGGUUAACUCAUUUAGACAAGGAUCACACAGUUUUUAAUAUAGACCAUUGAUUAGAGUGAAUCCAAGGGAUACAAAUUUCAACUUCUCUUUAUUAUCUCAUUGGCUAAGUCAAUAAAGUAGGGAUCACAACGUUUCCGAUAUGAACCGUUGAUGAAAAUGAAUCUAACGGACAAAAAUUAACCCUUUUUUUAAGCUCAUCUUUUCACUUCUUCCCUCUUUCUCCUCUUCUUAGUCGUCUCUUUCGUCGUCUUUUUUUUCUUCUUCAAUCGAUUAUCCAACUAUACCAUAUUCUAAUUCUACCAUGCAAUUGAAUCGAUUAUCAAAUUAGUUUCGAUUUGGGGAUCUCAGCUUCAACCCACGACAUCUCGGCUAUAUGGGAGAAUCUCGAUUUUGAAAUCCGAGACCUGUUUAUUAGUACGGAGCUAUUUUCAAUUUGUAUUCAUUGGUUGAAUUCACAUAUAUAAUUAGUUUCCUUUUGUUUUUUAUCGAUCUAAUGUAUUCUCUUGCUGGGCUUCUCUAUUGUAGAAUCGAAUUGGAGGAGGAAGAAGGCGAGGUGAUCUAGUUGGCUCGGAGGAAAAAGAGUUCUCGGCACUUCCGAGUUCCGGCGUUCACAAAAAAGCUCCUCAAAGCCGGAGAUGGCUGGGAAACUCCUGAACAUGAUGGGAAUACGAAUGAUUUUGCAGCUUAAGAUGGGGAAGAAGACGACAACGCUUUGUGAUUUUGAGAAUGUAUUUUUAUUUUUUAAUUAUUGUAUUUUUUGUAAUAUAGAUUUUUUAUCAUUGUUUCAUAUACUAGAUAAUAAUAAAUUUGAUAUUUUUAUUUUUAAUAUAUCAAUUUAUCCCAAAAAAAGCAUUAAUCAUUAUUUAAUAUAAUCAAAAUAAUUAAUAAAAGUAAAAUGUUAUAGAAAAUAUAAAUAACUAGAAUAAAUUACAGAAUUAUUAUUAUAUAUAUAUACAAUUAUUAUUAAUAUAUGUUUUUCCUGUAGUGAAACGGUCGCAAACGAAUCGCAAAUUGGGCCCAAAUAUGUAAGGUUAUUACAGUUGCAAAUGAGUCGCUAACGUCCGUUCGUUGCUCUUUCGUCGUAAAUUUGCAACGAUAUUCGCCUGUCACAGAUCAGUCGUUAAUCUGCGACGAUAUAUUUAUAGUCGCUAAAUAGUCGCAAAUUAGCGACUAUAAUGAGACAAAGAAAUUUUGCGACCGUUUUUUUGCGACUAAUAGAAAUAGUCGUUAUUCAGUUGCAAAACCCUCUUUUGCGACCGUUUAGCGACCAUUUUCACAGUCGCAAAUGAAGUGUUUUCUUGUAGUGUUGGUUCUUCUUCUUCUUCUUUCUCGUCUCUCAGUUUAGGAACAAGAACCGCCUAAUUGAUUUUAUUAAAUCAUCCAACAAAAUAAACAACCUAAAGAAAAGGUUUAAGUGGAUCCCACAAAUUAAACAUCCUAUUAGAGCACCCCCAAUGGUUAAUUUUUGGGGUUCUCUCAAUCAGUUCUCUUCAAAAACAAUUUCAAAAAUAAAUCAAAAUGAAGAUAUAAGGAGAGAGCCAGCUCUCACAAGAGAGCUUUUGAGAGUUAAGAGAACCGACGACGUGGCAGCUUCUCAUUGGUCGAAUUUUAGACAAAAGAAGAAAAAAAAACGCAAAAAAGAAAACACAAACUGUCGCGUGAAAAAAAAACAAAAGCUAUUCUCUCUUUCUUUCUUUGCCGGCGAUGGCGAUGGCGAUUUGGUGAAGUUUUUCUCCGUCCCAUUGUCCCUCUCUCGAUUCUCGCUAUCUUAGCGCUAAUCGUACGUCCUCGCCCCAUUAAGAUCCCUAUCAAGUCCCGUCACGUCUUCAUCACCGGUGGAUCUAGCGGCAUCGGUCUUGCUCUCGCCCACCGGGCCGCCGCCGAGGGUGCUCGUGUCUCAAUCCUCGCCCGAUCCGCCGGAAAGCUAGAGGAAGCUAAAAAAGAGAUCCAGCUCGCCUCUGGUGUCGAAGUCGCCACAUUCUCCGCCGACGUUCGCGAUUAGAAAAUCAAAUGACUAAAUCGGAGGAUAAAUAAGUAGGAACAAGAUCUGGAUCUUGAUGAAUAAUGGAGAAGACUGGAUCUUGCGACUUCGAUAUUGCCGGAGACGAUAGAGAGGAUUACAAUUGCCGGGAACUGUUAUAAUGAUAUGACGUGACAGAGAACAAAGACAUUUUGUUUGACUUUAGAGGAUAAAUAUGAGCAAUCUUCAGCCAGGAUAUUAUAGUCUUCUUACGUGGACCUUAUGGCAUAGGAGAAAAGAUUAUAACGAACAUGGCAGUUUGUAUAAGUUUUGUCACUGUUCAUGGCACUGACCCUAAUUUUCUCUUCUUCUUAUACUGUAUUUCGUCACUUAGUAGAAAUUUGUGAACUUGGAACGAUGAAGAAAAAGAUCAUGGUCAUAUGCCACAAUAACAUAUCACAGUUUUACCUAGAGAAAGCAGGCCCGGCCUUGGACCAAUUUCUAUGAUACAUUUGUAUUGGGCCUCAUAUUUUCGAGGCCCAAUUAUGUGAAAUUUUUUUUUUUUUUUUUUUUGAAAAACCUCAAAAUGAAUUAAAUAGGCCUCAAAAUGAUUACUAUAGGCCUCCAAAUAAACAUAGAAGCCCCAUCCUUAAUAUAAAAGCCUCAUAAUUAGGAAAAAAGUUCAAUAACUAGAAAACAAUGUCCAAAAUUUUUUAAAAACUGUUAAAUAAAAAUUAUAAAUACUCCAUAAUUAGCAAAAAAAAAAAAAUUAGCAGUUUUUACUUUUAAAAAGACCCCAAAUUUUUUUUUUGUAUUUGGCCCCAGAUUUUACCGGAUCGGCCCUGAGAGAAAGUCCAAUAAAUUAAAAUUCUGUCAUAUUAUAAUUUUCAUAUAAGGUCAUCGAUCUAUGUCUAGUUACUUAGAUCAAAAAUACUUAACGUGAAAACCACAAUAAUUACUUAAACACAACAAUUAUAUUAUACGUUUGAACUUUCUAAAUUCUAAUAGUCAAAGGAGAGGUUAGUUUCGUCAAUAGAGGUUACCAAUAUUUAAUGUACUUAAGAGAAAUUUCGUUCGUUUCCUCCUCUUACAAGUUCAUGUCACGAUCCCGUAAUUAAUAUAAAUUCUAAGCUUAACUCAUCGACAUCAACACAAGAUUAGUCAAGAAAAAAAAACUCUUACGAAUAGAAAACAAAAUGAAAAAUUGGAGCCAAAGAUUAUCGCUUCUAAUCGUCAUGAUCUUCAUUUUCUCCGGGCUCCAUUUCUCUUCGGCCAGCCGCAAGUUCCCUAGUAUGACCACGACGGAGGAGUUCCAGCGAUUAAGUUUUGACGGCAAGAGAAUGUUAUCGGAAGUGACCGCCGGCGAGAAGUAUGAUCGGAUCUACGGAGCUUCCGCCAGAUUAGUCCCCAAAGGUCCUAACCCGCUUCACAACAAAUGAUAUAUUUCUAUAUUAUUAUAGUUCAAAUUUUGUCGCCAAUAAUUAUACUAUAGUAUUAAAUUUGUCUAGGGUUUUAUUUAGAAUCUUUUCACCUUGUGUCAACAAAUUCUCUUAUUUCUGGUUCUUUAAUUUCUUGUAUUUUGUAGAUAUAAAUGUAUGAUAGAUAUACGUACAGAUACUUCUAUAACUUUUGUUCAUAUUUACAUUUAUUUGUACGAUGUUGAAAAUAUGUAUCAAAUGAUUCUCUUGUAGUAUUGAUUUGAACGAGAGCUGAGAUUAGAAAAUAAGAAAAAGUACCAUUUUUUUUGUUGGUAAUUUUAAAUAAGAGGGUGAUUAUUAUAUACUUUGAUUAUAGCUUAUUAUAUAAAUCUGGCAUGUUACUAGUUUGACAGAAUUAUUAAUAUAUUCAAUUCAGAUCAUUUACGACAUUUCUGCAGUUUCCGUUCCUAAGAUAGUAACAUGACAUGAUCAAAGUUUUUUCGUUGUUACGAGUCUAUGGAAUCUUUUUCUUUUUUGUUAAAGGUUUCUAUGGAAUCUUCUCAAAUAAGACUAGACUAUUAAAUUUCGAAUUUCUUUCCGAUAAAUCGAUCGGUCAACAAUCAACAUGUAUAUAUGAACACAUUAAGCUAACGAAUAAAUUAGUCAUCCAUUCAACAAACGAUAGAAUUAUAGAAUAUAAGUCAACAUCUAUAUACUUUGUAAAAUAAAUAAGUUUAUUUUUACAAUGCUAAAAUGAUAAUAAUGAUCUUUGACAAAAAAAAUGAUAAUAAUGAGUUUUAUGAGUAGUCAACAAAGGCACGGCACGGCAAUGGCGUUGACCCUCUUUAAUUUUAUGUUCUCGACUUCUCGACUUAGAAAAAUAAUUAAUGUAAAUUAAACACAUCUCUACAAUAAAACUGAUUAAAACCAAAAUUUACAUACUUAAUAUCUUUAUUCAUCAAUUAAAACUAAAGUGCAAAAGAGUCAAAAUUUAAACAAAAAUCAACGCAAUAUCAAAGAUUCAAAGAUGAAGACAACCAAUUUUCUGUUUUUCUUUAAAAAGCAUAGUUUUGUUUUUUUUUUUUGGUUUUGUUUUCAAGCAUAGUUUUGUUAAUUGAAAAGAUCAUUUACAUAGAUAAUCAACAAAAAAAAAAUAAACACUGAUUUUUAACAAAAGAAAAAGCAAAUACAUAAACAGUAAUGGAACAAAUAUAAAUGUUUAAUUAGCCGGCAAAAACUUGUCAAUUUGACUUCAUUUUUCAAUAAUAAAACUUAUUUCAAUUUAGUGGCUAAAUGUUUUGGCCACUUUCUUUCCAAAUUCCAACUCAAUAGCCAACCAAAGUUUACGACCUUGACAUUCCAAUAACAAAGAUUCGGGGUUAAUAUCAUUAAUAUACAUUCUUUAGGGAUUAACAUGCAAAUCUUUCAGAUAUUAUUGUCACGUGUCACGUAAAUAAACUCCACGUCAACGAUAUUUUAUCGCUUCUUCUGUCUUUCUCAGACACACAGAGUGACAAAACCUAGUCACCGGCAAACAAAAAAAAACUCUGUUUCCAGACCGAAUUUUCUCAUCGGAAAAUGUUACGUCAGCUUCCACCAACUAUUACGGCGGACGCCACGCCGGAUUGGCUUCCCGUCGGUUGGAUUGUUCACUCUACAGUUCUAAAACGCGGUCGUCAAACUAAGGUUAACUACUUUAAACUCUCUAAAUGUUGAGCCUUUUCGUGUGUUCUCUGUUCUUUCUUCUUCCAAUUCACAUUGAUUCUUAGCUUUUUUGAUGUGAAAGUUUUGUUUUUUCUAGUGUUUUGAUCACAAUGCAGACAUGAGUCUUUAAACACACAAAUUUGCGUAAAUCGACCAUUAAUUGAGGAAAAAUCCGACCUUUGAUUGAAAAAGUGUAUGAAAAUUUCGUCAUCAAAAUGAGAAAAUUUUGAGCUCUCAUUGUUGAUUGAAUUGGUUUGGAUGCAUGUUGAUGAAAAUUUACACAUUGAUUUUGUAGACAUACACGCAAUUGAGAACAGGGAAAAAGUUAUCUACAAAGGAUCAAGUUCUUGAGUACAUUAAAAUGGAGAAAAUUCGAGAAAAACGAGAAGCAGGAAUCCAGAGGAAUAAAGCAAGUGUAUUAUCAUGUUCUUCUUGAGUAGACUUUUGCAAGUUCUUUGGUCUGUAUAUAUAAUCUAUCUUUCUCUUGCUGCAGUUAAAAGCCUUACAAGAUAGAGAGACCGCAAGCGAAAGGCCUUCGUGCCUUCCGGAUGAAAGGAAAGCAGAGUUGGGGAUUGGUUCUGUUAGUGGACACCCUUACAAGGUAUAACAGACUAAUCAUUUGUGCAUUAGUUUGUUAUUGAGAGUGAAAGAUUUGUUUUUGUUUUUUGGUAGAUGAAUGUGAACACAUCAAAUGAUUUUAAAACCAAUCCACAGGAGACAGUGGUAUUAGAUGAGAACACUAUGGAAUCUGAAGAUUCAUCGGGUGAAGAAUACGGAACCGGGUGUAAUGAAAUUGUAAGAUGCAUGGUUUUAUUUGAAAAUUUAGAAUCUUGAAAAGUUGUUGUAGUAUAGCUGAUAGAUACAUUUUUUUUCUUUUCGUUUUUAUGGUUUACAAGACGUAUGCAAUUGAGGAGGAUGAAGAAGAUUUUUCAGAGAGGGAAUAUGUCGAAAAUGUGGAGAAUUUAUCUAACAUAACCUCUACUCCUGUAAGUGAAUUGUUCUUAGUUUUAUUAUGUUUCUUCUUGAACAUGUAUUGAUGGGAGUUUUAUGUUUUGUUUAUCGUAGCUACGGUCACAGCCAGAAAGAAUGCAGAAAUUGGAGUCUCGAGCAAAAACGCAAUGUGUGUUUGAAGGUAUGUGGAGAAAAGGAAUCAAAGAGUAAUAAUACAGAGAUAUUUGUUUGUUAGUGAAGAAGACACAUAGUUUUUGUCUGUGCAGAUGAGGAUAUGAGUAGUGACAGUGACAACAAACUUAUUCCAGAAGCUGAGACCUCGAAAGACGAAAAUGCUUGGGGAGAGGCUUGUGUUGUAUCUAACCUAGUUGAGUCUUUUGAAGAGAAAAGCUCGCAUGGUGUUGUGGUUGAAUGUGAUGAUAAGGCGAGGGAGAUCCCGGGUUUGACUGGAUCACUUACUGUUGAAAUCAACCUGGACUGUGAACCUGCAAGUGAUAGUUUGGUAGAGAAGAAUUGGAAUAAAAGUGGGAGCGAAGGAAUAGGAAAAAGAUACAUUGAGAUCAUUGACCUAGAGAGUGACGUGAUUCACAUAAGUGGCUCAUCAAAAGUUGUUGAAGUGACUCGGGAAUCUGGCGAUACAAGUAAAGAGCCUCUGAAAGCUCAUUC
rnacentral:lncRNA from 1 species